CAGCCGCCGCGGUAAUACCGGCGGCCCGAGUGGCGGCCACUAUUAUUGGGCCUAAAGCGUCCGUAGCCGGCCCGGCAAGUCCCCCCUUAAAGCCCACGGCUCAACCGUGGGAGCGGGGGGAUACUGCCGGGCUAGGGGGCGGGAGCGGCCGGGGGUACUCCCGGGGUAGGGGCGAAAUCCGUUAAUCCCGGGAGGACCGCCAGUGGCGAAGGCGCCCGGCUGGAACGCGCCCGACGGUGAGGGACGAAAGCUGGGGGAGCAAAGGGGAUUAGAUACCCCCGUAGUCCCAGCUGUAAACGAUGCGGGCUAGGUGUUGGGCGGGCUUCGAGCCCGCCCAGUGCCGUAGGGAAGCCGUUAAGCCCGCCGCCUGGGGAGUACGGCCGCAAGGCUGAAACUUAAAGGAAUUGGCGGG
rnacentral:rRNA from 1 species